GGUUGGUCCAAGUGUGGUGGUGUUUACAACUAAUUGAUCACAACCAGUUACAGAUUCCUUUGUUCCUUCUCCACUCCCACUGCCUCCCUUGACCAGCCUUUA
rnacentral:Y_RNA from 1 species